rnacentral:piRNA from 1 species
CUAUAGCUGUAUUAAAAUAGAGAAAAA